rnacentral:rRNA from 1 species
CGUCCAGACUCCUACGGGAGGCAGCAGUGAGGAAUAUUGGUCAAUGGACGAGAGUCUGAACCAGCCAAGUAGCGUGAAGGAUGACUGCCCUAUGGGUUGUAAACUUCUUUUAUAUGGGAAUAAAACAGGGUAUGCAUACCCUCUUGUAUGUACCAUAUGAAUAAGGAUCGGCUAACUCCGUGCCAGCAGCCGCGGUAAUACGGAGGAUCCGAGCGUUAUCCGGAUUUAUUAGGUUUAAAGGGAGCGUAGAUGGGUUGUUAAGUCAGUUGUGAAAGUUUGCGGCUCAACCGUAAAAUUGCAAUUGAUACUGGCAGCCUUGAGUACAGUUGAGGUAGGCGGAAUUCGUGGUGUAGCGGUGAAAUGCUUAGAUAUCACGAAGAACUCCGAUUGCGAAGGCAGCAUACCGGCGCGCAACUGACGCUCAUGCACGAAAGCGUGGGUAUCGAACAGGAUUAGAUACCCGAGUAC